UCCCUGGUGGCUCAGAUGGUAAAGCGUUGGCCUGCAAUGCGGGAGACCCGGGUUCGAUUCCUGGGUUGGGAA
rnacentral:tRNA from 1 species